GGUUGUGGCUCAGAGGUAGAGUACUUGCCUAGCAUGCGUGAGGCACUGAGUUUGAUCCUCAGCACCA
rnacentral:tRNA from 1 species